rnacentral:rRNA from 2 species
AUGUGUGAUCAUACCAUCACUAAUGCACCACACUAAUGCACUUGAUCCCAUUAGAACUCCACAUUUAGGCAUGCUUGGGAGAGAGUAGUACUAUGAUGGUUCACCUCAUGGGAAGUCCUUGUGUUGCUCCUC